rnacentral:rRNA from 1 species
AUUGAACGCUGGCGGCAGGCCUAACACAUGCAAGUCGAACGGCAGCACAGAAGAGCUUGCUCUUUGGGUGGCGAGUGGCGGACGGGUGAGUAAUGUCUGGGAAACUGCCCGAUGGAGGGGGAUAACUACUGGAAACGGUAGCUAAUACCGCAUAACGUCGCAAGACCAAAGUGGGGGACCUUCGGGCCUCACACCCUCGGAUGUGCCCAGAUGGGAUUAGCAAGUAGGUGGGGUAAUGGCUCACCUAGGCGACGAUCCCUAGCUGGUCUGAGAGGAUGACCAGCCACACUGGAACUGAGACACGGUCCAGACUCCUACGGGAGGCAGCAGUGGGGAAUAUUGCACAAUGGGCGCAAGCCUGAUGCAGCCAUGCCGCGUGUAUGAAGAAGGCCUUCGGGUUGUAAAGUACUUUCAGCGGGGAGGAAGGCGGUGAGGUUAAUAACCUUGCCGAUUGACGUUACCCGCAGAAGAAGCACCGGCUAACUCCGUGCCAGCCGCCGCGGUAA